rnacentral:rRNA from 1 species
AAGACCUUGCGCUUUUGGAGCGGCCGAUGCCUGAUUAGCUUGUUGGUAAGGUAAAAGCUUACCAAGGCUUCGAUCAGUAGCUGGUCUGAGAGGACGGCCAGCCACACUGGGACUGAGACACGGCCCAGACUCCUACGGGAGGCAGCAGUGGGGAAUUUAGGACAAUGGGGGCAACCCUGAUCCAGCCAUGCCGCGUGAGUGAAGAAGGCCUUCGGGUUGUAAAGCUCUUUCAGCCGGAACGAAACGGUUACGGUUAAUACCCGUGAUUACUGACGGUACCGGAAGAAGAAGCACCGGCUAACUACGUGCCAGCAGCCGCGGUAAUACGUAGGGUGCGAGCGUUAAUCGGAAUUACUGGGCGUAAAGCGUGCGCAGGUGGUUUUGUAAGUCAGAUGUGAAAGCCCCGGGCUCAACCUGGGAACU